UACGGAGGGUGCAAGCGUUGUUCGGAAUUACUGGGCGUAAAGCGCGUGUAGGCGGCCUUCUAAGUCUGGUGUGAAAGCCCGGGGCUCACCCCCGGAAGUGCAUUGGAUACUGGAAGGCUGGAGUACCGGAGAGGAGGGUGGAAUUCCUGGUGCAGCGGUGAAAUGCGUAGAUAUCAGGAGGAACACCGGUGGCGAAGGCGGCCCUCUGGACGGAUACUGACGCUGAGACGCGAAAGCGUGGGGAGCAGCCAGG
rnacentral:rRNA from 1 species